GUCCCCGUAGCUCAGUUGGAUAGAGCAUCUGCCUUCUAAGCAGAGGGUCGGGCGUUCGAAUCGCCCCGGGGACG
rnacentral:tRNA from 1 species